GUGACCUCAUCUAUCUUACUUAACCCUUCAUACAUAGAAUCUAGAAGAGUGGCCCGCACACACUGAGUGGGCCUGAAUAUAUACAAAUAUGAACAAGACCCACAAGGACUGCUCAUCACCCCAGUAUUCCAUUUACAACAUCCUGAAUGAACUCCCGACCAGGCCUAUAAUUCUCUCUUGCAGCCAAAUAUCCUGCUUACUCCUGGUAUCUACCUGGUCAGCAGACCUCAUGAGUUAUCGCCCAGUGACAAAACCAUCCCAAAGAUGCACCAGUCCAGCACAAAGUAUGACUGUCAAUCUCACAAAAGAUGUAGGGUUCUACGAGGAUACUCAGAGUAUAAGAAUUACGCUAAGUGAAAUAAGCCAAGCCCAGAAAGACACAUACUUUAUUAUUUCAUGUAUCUGUGGAAUCUAAAAGAGUCAAAUUCAUGGCAGCAGGGAGAGGGCUGAAGAAGGGGGAGAUGUUGAUCAAAGUUUCUAUGUAUACAAAGACCAAACCAUCACAUUAUGCCUCAUAAAUAUAUACAAUUAUUAUUUGCUAAUUACAAGUAAAGCAAUACAAGAAGAAAAAAAGGAAUCAUAAGUAAAUCCAUGACAAGUGAAAACGCAAUGGAGAGAAGGGAAUCAAUGAUUGAAGAAGAGAAAGGACAGUGGAUUUACAACUGCUUCGAAAGAGUGAUUUGACUGGCAAAGGACUGGGGAGAGGUCCUUUGGGAAAUGGACAAAGCCCUCGAAUGGUUAGGAAAGACAAUCUCUUUAUAAAUGCAGGGCAUAAGCUGAGCACAAGGUGAAGUUUGGCAUGUACUGCCGUGGGAUGUUGUAAAAAUUAUGUCAAAAGCAAAGCAAUUCUUGGU
rnacentral:lncRNA from 1 species